rnacentral:rRNA from 1 species
UACAGAGGUCCCGAGCGUUGUUCGGAUUCAUUGGGCGUAAAGGGUGCGUAGGCGGACUGUUAAGUCGGGGGUGAAAUCCUGGGGCUCAACCUCAGAAUUGCCUCCGAUACUGGCAGUCUCGAGUGCGGGAGAGGUGAGUGGAAUUCCCAGUGUAGAGGUGAAAUUCGUAGAUAUUGGGAAGAACACCAGUGGCGAAGGCGGCUCACUGGCCCGUAACUGACGCUGAGGUGCGAAAGCGUGGGGAGCAAACAGG